CACAUUGUACUAAUAUUAGUUACCUAUCAGCAGCCCUCCCCCUAUGAGGGGCGAUGGAUUUACCCUGUUGCCUGGAGACUGGACUCAAACAGAGACCCAGAGAGAGCACCUGGGCUCUGGCUCUGGAGGGGUUAAGAAUGAGUCCUGGAGCAGAUAACUCCUGGAGCAGAUAAUGGAGCCGAGUAACACCAGCAAAGUGAAGCCUCAGCUUGAGCUGGAGGGAGAUGACAGGAAGAAGAAGGCAGCGUCUGCAGACCCCCUCCCCAGAUGGCGGCUUAGAGAAAGCUAAAGUUCAGCUCUCCGGAAAUCCUUCCCUACUGAACUCAAACUAUAUGCUCCUAAGGCACCGAAAUUCAAAACGAACAACAGCAUAGACCCCAGGAAUCCUCCUCCUGGACCUGAACCUGGAUCAAAAGGAACUUUACAACUUUGCUCCACCGUAUCAGAGCUACCAGCAUCAUUGCUCUUGUACUUUGAGCAAUUAUUAAUAACUUAAUAGCAAGCAUGAAACAGAGAAAGCACUACUGUGACACAGACACAACUUACAAGCGAGAACUCUGG
rnacentral:lncRNA from 1 species